UCGUUGUCACAUACGAUGUUCUGCUGUGUCUAAUGUCUCUGAUUCACAGAAUCGUGGUAUAGUACUGUGGCGGCGUUGGAUUUGGUUGUUGUAUGUGUUGAUUUCCUCAAACAAUUUGAGUUGUGCGUAAUGUCAUGUCGUAUUGCUAAUUUAAUGGUCUCGUCAUUACUCCGUCUACGUAGAGCAGGAAAAUUUGUAACACCAGAUCGUUUAUCAAAGAGAAAAUUUCAUAUAACCAGCAGUGUUUCCCAUGGAGAAUAUGAAUGGAAAGAUCCACAGUCUGAGGAAGAAGUAGUUAAUGUGACAUUCAUAGAUAAAGACGGAAAAGAAAUAAAAGUAAGAGGGAAAGUUGGUGACAAUGUCCUAUAUUUGGCUCAUAGAUAUGGAAUUGAGAUGGAAGGUGCUUGUGAAGCAUCAUUAGCUUGCACAACUUGCCAUAUUUAUGUGCUUGGAGAUUAUUUGGACAAACUUCCACCUGCUGAAGAACAAGAAGAGGACCUGCUUGAUCUUGCUCCCUUUCUUAAGGAAAACUCAAGACUAGGUCGUGGUUGACGUUUCACAAGUGGCUGAACACUUCCUGUUUCCUUAAAUAACGUAACCAUCCGGUCAAUGGUCCGGACUCUUGGAUGGUGUUGUCCAGGAUACCGAGCAGCAUACAUAGCACACACCCGCUGGGCAUUUUGAUCACAAUAGCCAUACAUCAACACGAUAUCGACCUUUUCCGCAAUUGGUAAACGGUCCAUUUUAACACGGGUUGCCAGAUAAUUUUGAAAAAGGAGUAUGAUGGCAUGGUUCUUCAGCUUCCAAAAGCAACCCGAAACUUUUAUGUUGAUGGACACAAACCAAAACCUCACUAAAGUGUUCUCUUAACUAUAUGAACAUAUUUGUGCCUGUGUAGAUAUUUUGUGUGUGUUGGUUUUUAUUUUUAAUGUACUCUAUGGCUACAGUUUUGUAUAAAUAUGUUGUGCUCCAGCAUAAUGGGAAUCUCACACAGAAAGCUAGUAUAGACAUAAAUGUUGUAAAUAUAUUGUAAUGAAGAGUAAUUGUAAAGUAAUUUGCAACAGUAUUUCAUGAAAAGAAAAUAUUUUGUAAGAGAUGUAAAUAUAUGUAUAUUGCAAAUUAAA